AGAGUUUGAUCCUGGCUCAGGAUGAACGCUGGCGGCAUGCUUUAACCACAUGCAAGUUGUACGGUCUCUGAAAAUUGGGGUAGUAACGAACGGGUGAGUAAUUUGCAAGAAUUGACAUUUAGGAGGUGAACAACAUUUGGAAACGAGUGCUAAUGCGCCAUAAUGCUAUAAAGUUAAAGAUACACAAUAUCGCCUAGAUACAAGCUUGCAACUGAUUAGCUUGUUGGUGAGGUAAUGGCUUACCAAGGCUUUUAUCAGUAGCUGGUCUUAGAGGAUGUACAGCCACACUGGAAAUGAGAUAUGAACAGACUCCUACGGGAGGCAGCAGUGAGGAAUCUUCCGCAAUGAGUGAAAGCUUGACGGAGCAAUGCCGCGUGGAGGAUGAAGGCCUUAGGGUUGUAAUCUCCUUUUCUCACAGAAGAAUUUUUGACGGUAUUUGAGGAAUAAGCAUCGGCUAACUUCGUGCCAGCAGCCGCGGUAAUACGAGGGAUGCAAGCGUUAUCCGGAAUUAUUGGGCGUAAAGCGUUUGUAGGCGGGCGAGUGUGUUUAAUGUUAAAUCUUAAAGCUCAACUUUGAAAUUGCGUUAAAAACUGCUUGUCUUGAGUAUGGUAGGGGUAAAGGGAAUUCCCAGUGUAGCGGUGAAAUGCGUAGAUAUUGGGAAGAACACUAAACAGCGAAGGCACUUUACUAGGCUAAUACUGACGCUGAGAAACGAAAGGUAAGGUAGCGAAACGGAUUAGAUACCCGUGUAGUCUUACCCGUAAACUAUGGACACUAAACGGUAAAUUUUUAAUUUACUGUUAAAGCUAACGCGUUAAGUGUCCCGCCUGGGGAGUAUGCUUGCAAAAGUGAAACUCAAAGGAAUUGACGGGGGCCCGCACAAGCGGUGGAGCAUGUGGUUUAAUUCGACGGUACACGAAGAACCUUACCAGGAUUUGACAUGCUAGAUAGUUGCUUGAAAGAGUAACGUGCCGUAAGGAAUCUAGACACAGGUGGUGCAUGGCUGUCGUCAGUUCGUGUUGUGAAAUGUUGGGUUAAGUCCCGCAACGAACGCAACCCUUGUCUUUAGUUAUUUUCUAAAGAGACUGCCUGUAAUAAACAGGAGGAAGGUAAGGAUGAGGUCAAGUCAUCAUGCCCCUUAUGUCCUGGGCUACACACGUGCUACAAUGGGAAAGACAAUGAGCUGCAAAUCUGUAAAUUUAAGCAAAUCUCUUAAACUUUCUCGUAGUUCGGAUUGUGGGCUGCAACUCGCCCACAUGAAGUUGGAAUCGCUAGUAAUCGCCAGUCAGCUAUAUGGCGGUGAAUCCGUUCCCGGGCCUUGCACACACCGCCCGUCACACCAUGGGAGCUGUUCACUCCUAAAGUCGUAUUUUCAACUUACAAAGAGAAAAAUGCCUAGGGAAGGUUCAGUGACUGGGGUGAAGUCGUAACAAGGUAACC
rnacentral:rRNA from 1 species